AUUGAACGCUGGCGGCAUGCCUUACACAUGCAAGUCGAACGGUAACGCGGGGCAACCUGGCGACGAGUGGCGAACGGGUGAGUAAUGCAUCGGAACGUGCCCAGUAGUGGGGGAUAGCCCGGCGAAAGCCGGAUUAAUACCGCAUACGACCUACGGGUGAAAGGGGGGGAUCGCAAGACCUCUCGCUAUUGGAGCGGCCGAUGUCAGAUUAGGUAGUUGGUGGGGUAAAGGCCUACCAAGCCUACGAUCUGUAGCUGGUCUGAGAGGACGACAAGGCAAACUGGGACGGAGAACCGGCCCAGACGCGUACGGGAGGCAGCAGUGGGGAAUUGUGGACAAUGGGCGCAAGCCUGAUCCAGCCAGGCCGCGUGCGGGAAGAAGGCCUUCGGGUUGUAAACCGCUUUUGUCGGGGAAGAAAUCUUCUGGGCUAAUACCUCGGGAGGAUGACGGUACCCGAAGAAUAAGCACCGGCUAACUACGUGCCAGCCGCCGCCGUAA
rnacentral:rRNA from 1 species